GUUGUUGGGUAGGGGAGCGUUCUGUAAGCCUGCGAAGGUGGCCUGUGAGGGUUGCUGGAGGUAUCAGAAGUGCGAAUGCUGACAUAAGUAACGAUAAAGCGGGUGAAAAGCCCGCUCGCCGGAAGACCAAGGGUUCCUGUCCAACGUUAAUCGGGGCAGGGUGAGUCGACCCCUAAGGCGAGGCCGAAAGGCGUAGUCGAUGGGAAACGGGUUAAUAUUCCCGUACUUGGUGUUACUGCGAAGGGGGGACGGAGAAGGCUAUGUUGGCCGGGCGACGGUUGUCCCGGUUUAAGCGUGUAGGUGUGUGUUCCAGGUAAAUCCGGUUCACUUUAACACUGAGGCGUGACGACGAGGCACUACGGUGCUGAAGCAACAAAUGCCCUGCUUCCAGGAAAAGCCUCUAAGCAUCAGGUAACAUCAAAUCGUACCCCAAACCGACACAGGUGGUCAGGUAGAGAAUACCAAGGCGCUUGAGAGAACUCGGGUGAAGGAACUAGGCAAAAUGGUGCCGUAACUUCGGGAGAAGGCACGCUGACACGUAGGUGAAGUGAUUUACUCAUGGAGCUGAAGUCAGUCGAAGAUACCAGCUGGCUGCAACUGUUUAUUAAAAACACAGCACUGUGCAAACACGAAAGUGGACGUAUACGGUGUGACGCCUGCCCGGUGCCGGAAGGUUAAUUGAUGGGGUCAGCGCAAGCGAAGCUCCUGAUCGAAGCCCCGGUAAACGGCGGCCGUAACUAUAACGGUCCUAAGGUAGCGAAAUUCCUUGUCGGGUAAGUUCCGACCUGCACGAAUGGCGUAAUGAUGGCCAGGCUGUCUCCACCCGAGACUCAGUGAAAUUGAACUCGCUGUGAAGAUGCAGUGUACCCGCGGCAAGACGGAAAGACCCCGUGAACCUUUACUAUAGCUUGACACUGAACAUUGAGCCUUGAUGUGUAGGAUAGGUGGGAGGCUUUGAAGUGUGGACGCCAGUCUGCAUGGAGCCGACCUUGAAAUACCACCCUUUAAUGUUUGAUGUUCUAACGUGGACCCGUUACCCGGGUUGCGGACAGUGUCUGGUGGGUAGUUUGACUGGGGCGGUCUCCUCCUAAAGAGUAACGGAGGAGCACGAAGGUUGGCUAAUCCUGGUCGGACAUCAGGAGGUUAGUGCAAUGGCAUAAGCCAGCUUGACUGCGAGCGUGACGGCGCGAGCAGGUGCGAAAGCAGGUCAUAGUGAUCCGGUGGUUCUGAAUGGAAGGGCCAUCGCUCAACGGAUAAAAGGUACUCCGGGGAUAACAGGCUGAUACCGCCCAAGAGUUCAUAUCGACGGCGGUGUUUGGCACCUCGAUGUCGGCUCAUCACAUCCUGGGGCUGAAGUAGGUCCCAAGGGUAUGGCUGUUCGCCAUUUAAAGUGGUACGCGAGCUGGGUUUAGAACGUCGUGAGACAGUUCGGUCCCUAUCUGCCGUGGGCGCUGGAGAACUGAGGGGGGCUGCUCCUAGUACGAGAGGACCGGAGUGGACGCAUCACUGGUGUUCGGGUUGUCAUGCCAAUGGCACUGCCCGGUAGCUAAAUGCGGAAGAGAUAAGUGCUGAAAGCAUCUAAGCACGAAACUUGCCCCGAGAUGAGUUCUCCCUGAGACUUAGAGUCUCCUGAAGGAACGUUGAAGACGACGACGUUGAUAGGCCGGGUGUGUAAGCGCAGCGAUGCGUUGAGCUAACCGGUACUAAUGAACCGUGAGGCUUAACCUUACAACGCCGAAG
rnacentral:rRNA from 1 species